UCUUCUUUUUUUUGUUUUGUUUGUUUUUUUUUUUUUAACAUUAAUUUCCAGGUUUCCCCCUCUCCUCCAAGAAAAAUCCACCCACACACAACAACGACCCCGGAGAGCGACGCAAAACCCGACGCGGUUCCGCGGAAACUCGGUCAGAUUAUUGGACUCGCCUGGAGACGACAAAACCCCAAAAACCCCCAAAAAAAAAACCCCAACAAAACCAAACCCAACGAACUAAAACGCGACAAGUGCCCACAAAGGGCUCGGGGAUUUUCAGGCUGCUGCAAAACCUCCAGAAAUAAUCCCAGCGCCACCACAGAGGGAGAGAGCCCAGCCCGCGCCUCCAGAGCCCAGAAAAACCAAUUAUUCCUCAGGAUAUUCGCCAAAUCUACUGAAAAAGCAGCGAGAUCUCGAACGGAUUGGCUGUCCCAAAGAAAAUGAGAGAGAUUUGGGUGAUAAAUCGGGGUAAAAGGAUAUUUCAGCACGUUUAUUUCCAAAGAACGUGUUGGUUUUUGUGUGUUUUUAACAAGCCAAAGAGGGAGGCACCCAACGCGCGGUAGAUUUUUGGAGAUCUCCUUUUUAUUUCGAAGAAUAAUAAUCACAGACGAAGGAAAAUAAUAAUAAUUAUUAUUAUUAAUAAUAAUAACAAAAAAAAGCAACGCGCCGCCAUUAAAUAAUUUGCUACUUUGAUAUACAACAUUUGACGUUGCACAAUAUUAAUUCCUCUGCUUUUUCUCUUUUUUUUUUUUUAUUUUUUUCCCCUUUUUUUCCCCCCCGUAGAGGCUCGAACAACGAAGG